GCCGCGGUGGCGGAAUGGUAUACGCAGCGGACUUAAAAUCCGCGGAUCGUAAGGUCAUGUGGGUUCGAUUCCCACCCGCGGUA
rnacentral:tRNA from 1 species